GAACUUGCUUUGGUAUUACACACCAAAAUAUUAGAACCAAACAGAAGAUUAGCAUGGUCCCUGUGAAAGGAUGACACGUACAUUUGUGAAGCAUUCCAUUAUAUA
rnacentral:snRNA from 1 species